UACGGAGGGUGCAAGCGUUAUCCGGAUUCACUGGGUUUAAAGGGUGCGUAGGCGGACAGGUAAGUCAGUGGUGAAAUCUCUGGGCUUAACCCAGAAACUGCCGUUGAUACUAUCUGUCUUGAAUAUCAUGGAGGUAAGCGGAAUAUGUCAUGUAGCGGUGAAAUGCGCAGAUAUCGGGAGGAACACCAGUAGCGAAGGCGGCACUCUGGGCCGGUACUGACGCUGAGGAGCGAAAGCGUGGGGAGCAAACAGG
rnacentral:rRNA from 1 species